rnacentral:misc_RNA from 1 species
GUGAAAUUUAAGUUCGUGGAAAAGAAAUACAAAAACUGACAAUAUGUAUGCUGAAAGAAUUACUGAAAUUGAAUCCAAGUGUUCACGGUCUGGACUUAUUAAAACAACUAGUUGAUCGUUAUAUAAUACAAUCAAAUCUUGAAGAAAGCAAUGUCACCUUCACAACGAAUCCAAUACAAACAGAGUAAAGGCAUCAAAUUAUAGCUUAAUUACAGCAUGAAAAC